UGGGCUAUCGCCAAGCGGUAAGGCACAGGAUUUUGAUUUUUGCAUUCGUUGGUUCGAAUCCAACUAGCCCAG
rnacentral:tRNA from 1 species